GCAUGGUGAUGGAUUUAUGGUGGGUCCUUCUGCGUGGGCCUUUCAUAGUGUACCAUGCGAGAGCAGACUGCCGCCUCGAACCAUUGCCCAGCCUCUGCCGUGGGCUGUGAGCACUGAAGGAGGCGGUACAGUU
ensembl:snoRNA